rnacentral:misc_RNA from 1 species
UUGUAGCAGGCUGAGCA